CACACCCACCAGGACAUCUAGUUCCCCCUUUUAUUUCCCAUCCUUUCCCAAACAUAGUAAAUUCACUUAACCAUUAAGGAUUAAACCGUUAGUAAUGCUGCACUUGAUUCCGUUCUUGAAGAAAAAGAUGGUUUCAUUCAGGAGGAUUCAGAGCAAGGUGAGGCUGGUGAGCUGGCCUCUGAACAUUAUGCUGUUUAGGUUCAUGCAACUCAGAAGAGAAAACGAUCUUCAGAGGAGAAUUGUGAAGAUUUUGUCCUGAAAACAGAAGGGGAGAAGUUUGAUCAACAUGAGAAUUUCUCAUCUUUUAAUGAAGAUCUAGUACUGUGCGUUGUGCCAUUCAUUAAAGGAUAUAGGAUGGGGGAGGGUGAUGGAAAUUGUGGUUUUAGAGCAAUUGUUGUAUUUGAGUAUUGCGAUGAGAAAAAGUGGUUAGAUGUGAGGCAGGACUUGAAGGAGGAACUAACUACCCACAAAGAGUUGUAUAAUAGAGCCCUUGGUGGUGAGGAGGAGUUUAAGAAGGCAUUUGAUAUAGUGGAUUGGCAUGAAUCUUCUGUUCCGAUGGAUUUGGUAUGAUGCAAUGUUUUUAGGGUUGGUUGUUUUAACAAAAUAUCAAAAAAUUUGCACAUAUUGUUCAAAAACAUGUCCUACAACGGUCUUGCCUCUGGAGAGUAGGACAGUUGAUCAACCUCCAACUGAGUACAUAAAUUUGGCUAUAAUAUGGAGUGAUGAGCACUCAAUAGCAUUGCACUUGGGAACCCGAGAUCUUCCAUUACCACCCCUUCUGCCACUUUAGGAAUGUCAUUGUAACACUGCGGUUAAGUCAUGGUUUAAGUCUCAUUUUAGCAAGCAACUUGAUUACUUUUGCCAAUUACGUGACUUGGAUCUCUUCCUUACCUAUCCUUGACUGUGCUUUGUGAGCUCCUGAUGGAACUUUGGCUGUAAUGAUGUGAUUAGAUUUGAUGUGUUAGAUACACAUCAUGUUACAUGGGUACAAGUGAUCAGGACCCUAAAAUUAGCCAUGAUGUGUAUUUAACAUAUUAGUAAGUGUGCGUGGAGAUGUUACUACAAAGGUGCUCAUGCAACGAGAACUUAGUUAGAGUUGAAGAAAUCUCAUCCUACAGCAUGUUAAAAGGAUUCGGCCAUGAUGAUCAAUUUGGAUUAGAUUUACUCCAACAUAACAAUUGUAAAUAGUUUAGAAUUGUAAAUCAAGAGAGGUUUUCCGAGCUCGUUAAGAGAAGGUUUUUCAUCUCUCUUGGAAGUAGAAUUACUUAAUUAUUUGAUGUUUUAUUUAGGGGUUUAAUUCGGUUGUUUUUUAUGUGAAAAUAGCUGAAUUUUAGUGAGUUUAUUCGACCAUAGUUGUUAUGAAGUAAGACUGAUUUUUAUUUCCUAGUUUGUUUACGUUUAGGAAUCCUUUAGCAAAUAAGAUUGAUGUUACUUGAGCAUCUUCAAGUUUAAAUUACACUUUACUGAUAAAUUUAGAUGUGUGUGAUGAUC